CUCGUCUCAAAGAUUAAUCCAUGCAUGUGUAAGUAUAAAUAGUUAACUUUGAAACUGCGAAUGGCUCAUUAUAUCAGUUAUAGUUUAUUUGAUGAAGAAUCACUAAUUGGAUAACCGUAGUAAUUGUAGAGCUAAUACAUGUAUAAAGUCUUGUAGACUGCAUUUAUUAGAAUGAAAACCAUAGGUUUCGGCCUAUUCGUGAGUAAUAAUAACUAAUCAUAUCGUAUGCUUAUGUAACGAUGUGUCUUUCAAGUUUCUGCCCUAUCAGCUUUCGAUGGUAGUGUAUUGGACUACCAUGGCAGUAACGGGUAACGAAGAAUUUGGGUUACGAUUUCGGAGAGGGAGCCUGAGAAGAUGGCUGACCACAUCCAAGGAAGGCAGCAGGCGCGUAAAUUACCCAAUCCUGACACAGGGAGGUAGUGACAAUAAAUCACAAUGCGGAACAAUGUUUUGUAAUUGGAUUGAGAACAACGUACAAACCUUAUCGAUAAACAAUUGGAGGGCAAGU
rnacentral:rRNA from 1 species